UACGUAGGUGGCAAGCGUUGUCCGGAAUUAUUGGGCGUAAAGCGCGCGCAGGCGGUCCUUUAAGUCUGAUGUGAAAGCCCACGGCUCAACCGUGGAGGGUCAUUGGAAACUGGGGGACUUGAGUACAGGAGAGAAGAGUGGAAUUCCACGUGUAGCGGUGAAAUGCGUAGAGAUGUGGAGGAACACCAGUGGCGAAGGCGGCUUUCUGGCCUGUUCUUGACGCUGAGGCGCGAAAGCUAGGGUAGCAAACGGG
rnacentral:rRNA from 1 species